rnacentral:rRNA from 1 species
GAAACCAACAGGGAUUGCCUCAGUAACGGCGAGUGAAGCGGCAACAGCUCAAAUUUGAAAUCUGGCUCUUUCAGAGUCCGAGUUGUAAUUUGCAGAGGAUGCUUCGGGUUCGGCUCCGGUCUAAGUUCCUUGGAACAGGACGUCAUAGAGGGUGAGAAUCCCGUAUGUGACUGGCYGCCACGCCCGUGUGAAGCUCCUUCGACGAGUCGAGUUGUUUGGGAAUGCAGCUCAAAAUGGGUGGUAAAUUUCAUCUAAAGCUAAAUAUUGGCCAGAGACCGAUAGCGCACAAGUAGAGUGAUCGAAAGAUGAAAAGCACUUUGGAAAGAGAGUCAAACAGUACGUGAAAUUGUUGAAAGGGAAGCGCUUGCAACCAGACUUGCCCGCGGGUGAUCAGCCGGUAUUUUUACCGGUGCACUCGCCCGUGGUCAGGCCAGCAUCGGUUUGGGUGGCUGGAUAAAGUCCACUGGAAUGUAGCUCCUCUCGGGGAGUGUUAUAGCCGGAGGUGCCAUGCAGCCCGCCCGGACCGAGGACCGCGC